rnacentral:rRNA from 1 species
GACGAACGCUGGCGGCGUGCUUAACACAUGCAAGUCGAACGGAAAGGCCCUGCUUUUGUGGGGUGCUCCAGUGGCGAACGGGUGAGUAACACGUGAGUAACCUGCCCUUGACUUUGGGAUAACUUCAGGAAACUGGGGCUAAUACCGGAUAGGAGCUCCUGCUGCAUGGUGGGGGUUGGAAAGUUUCGGCGGUUGGGGAUGGACUCGCGGCUUAUCAGCUUGUUGGUGGGGUAGUGGCUUACCAAGGCUUUGACGGGUAGCCGGCCUGAGAGGGUGACCGGCCACAUUGGGACUGAGAUACGGCCCAGACUCCUACGGGAGGCAGCAGUGGGGAAUAUUGCACAAUGGGCGGAAGCCUAAUGCAGCAACGCCGCGUGCGGGAUGACGGCCUUCGGGUUGUAAACCGCUUUCGCCUGUGACGAAGCGUGAGUGACGGUAAUGGGUAAAGAAGCACCGGCUAACUACGUG